rnacentral:tRNA from 1 species
GGGGCCGUAGCUCAGCUGGGAGAGCGCUGCGUUCGCAAUGCAGAGGUCGGGGGUUCGAUCCCCCCCGGCUCCACCA